rnacentral:rRNA from 1 species
CACGUAGGGGGCAAGCGUUGUCCGGAUUUAUUGGGCGUAAAGAGCUCGUAGGUGGUUCGGUAAGUCGGGUGUUAAACCCCCAGGCUCAACCUGGGGACGCCACUCGAUACUGCUGUGACUAGAGUCCGGUAGGGGAGCGUGGAAUUCCUGGUGUAGCGGUGAAAUGCGCAGAUAUCAGGAGGAACACCAGCGGCGAAGGCGACUACCUGGCCUGUUCUUGACGCUGAGGCGCGAAAGCUAGGGGAGCAAACGGG